GGGGAUUUAGCUCAGAGGUAGAGCGUUUGCCUAGCAAGUGCAAGGCCCUGGGUUCGGUCCCCAGCUCCG
rnacentral:tRNA from 1 species